GGCACUGUGGCUUAGAUGGUUAAAGCACCUGCCUAGUAAACAGGCGGAGCUGGGUUCAAAUUCCAGCAGUGCCU